ACGGCGUGCCUUUUGCAUAAUGAGCCUACGAGUUAGUGUUGUUGGCAAGGUUAAUACUUUAAGAGUUGAAGCCGAAGCGAAAGCGAGUCUUAACAGGGCGAUCAGUCAGCAGUACUAGACGCGAAACUUGGUGAUCUACCCAUGACCAGGGUGAAGUGUGAGUAACAUCACAUGGAGGCCCGAACCAGUUGACGUUGAAAAGUCUUUGGAUGAGUUGUGGGUAGGGGUGAAAGGCCAAUCAAACUGAGAGAUAGCUCGUACUCCCCGAAAUGCUUUUAGGAGCAGCGUGGAAGUUAGUUUAUCAGAGGUAGAGCUACCGAUUGGACUAGGGGGAGUCAAAUCCUACCAAAUCCAGACGAACUCCGAAUGCUGAUAAAUAUAUUCCGCAGUGAGGGCUCGGGUGCUAAGGUCCGAGUCCGAGAGGGAAAGAACCCAGACCUACAGCUAAGGUCCCUAAAUCUGUGUUAAGUUGAACUAAGGCGGUCCAGUUGCAGAGACAGCCAGGAUGUUGGCUUGGAAGCAGCCAUU
rnacentral:rRNA from 1 species